AGUGAACGCUGGCGGUAGGCCUAACACAUGCAAGUCGAACGGCAGCACAGUAAGAGCUUGCUCUUACGGGUGGCGAGUGGCGGACGGGUGAGGAAUACAUCGGAAUCUACUUUUUCGUGGGGGAUAACGUAGGGAAACUUACGCUAAUACCGCAUACGACCUACGGGUGAAAGCAGGGGAUCUUCGGACCUUGCGCGAUUGAAUGGGCCGAUGUCGGAUUAGCUAGUUGGCGGGGUAAAGGCCCACCAAGGCGACGAUCCGUAGCUGGUCUGAGAGGAUGAUCAGCCACACUGGAACUGAGACACGGUCCAGACUCCUACGGGAGGCAGCAGUGGGGAAUAUUGGACAAUGGGCGCAAGCCUGAUCCAGCCAUACCGCGUGGGUGAAGAAGGCCUUCGGGUUGUAAAGCCCUUUUGUUGGGAAAGAAAAGCAGCAGGUUAAUACCCCGCUGUUCUGACGGUACCCAAAGAAGAAGCACCGGCUAACUUCGU
rnacentral:rRNA from 1 species